rnacentral:lncRNA from 1 species
CACUGAACGCGAACUGUUUUGCUUUGCUCCGGGAAGAGUGCAGACACAUAACGUGAAAUCCCGAGCUUUUUGCGUGGUGCAUUUAAAAUGCUUCCUUAUUUAUAUUACCCUCAUUCCCUCACCUCUCCCACCCCCUCACCAGUCCUUCCAAAUUUCCCUAGAAAUCUGUGUAAAGCAUGCGGAGGGGAAAAAAACAUUUGCACAAAAAGUGAAGGAGCUCGCCAAGGAGCGCCAAAGACCAAGAGGAGACCAGAUGAGUUUUCAAAGCAGUCCUCACACACCCAGGAUACAUGUCAUCUUUUGCCUCGUGCUUUCUGCAAUGUUGCUGCUCACGUUCAUCUUCCUAUUAACCCUUGCCAUGAUAACCCCUUCCUGAUCACCGCCUUGCCUCCAUCUGCCACCCAUUCAGCUCUUUCUCUGAGGUGCCCCUCCGGUGGGAAAUGGCUUUGAUCUUUGGCAAGCUCCCUUUUUGAGUUGUACCCCAAUGGCUGUCAUUAGUUUCCCUUUCUUCUAUCUCCUCCUCGUGCCAGACUUGGCCAACAUUCAGGUAAACUGCAGCAAAUUCCCCAAAUGAAGUUUCAAGACACACUGCCUGAGCAGUCACACUCAAUGAAGGGACCCAAGGUAUAUCUGAGUGUGAUGUCAUUGAAACCAGAUGGAAAGACCAGAAAUCCCAUAAUCCCAGUCAGAUAGAGUGAAAGAGCUUACUCGUGACUGUUUGGACUGAUUAAGAACGUGGGGGUAGGGAGGAGGAGAAAGAGAAAGAUCCUCAGAAUUUGCCCCUGAAUACAGGAUGGAAUCAUCUAGAUUUUUUUUUCCUUCAAUUAAAUUUGCAUUUCAUUCUACC